AAUCAACUCAGAGCUUGAGGAACUCCAACAGGAAACGAGCAACUUACAACAUCAGCUCCAAAUGGCUGAGCAACAAUUAAGGAUUUUUGAGCCGGAUCCUCAGUCCUUUUCCUCAAUUGAGGAGCUUGAAUCAUGUGAGAACAACAUUUUGGCAACUUUGACACGUGUCGCAGAAAGAAAGAAAGAUUUAUUAAGCAAC